ACAAGGUAAAUGUAUUUUUUUUUGUAAUGGUUUUUAUCUUCAGUCAAUUUGUGUCAUGGUUUUUAACUACAAGGUCAGUAUGUAUUUAAUUUGUGUCAUGGUUUUUAACUACAAGGUCAGUGUGUAUUUAACAUGUGUCACUGUUUUUGUUUCCUCAUGGUUUGUGAUAUCUACAAUACAAGGUCAAUAUGUAUUUCAUUUGUCAUGUUUUUUAUCUACAAGGUAAAUUUUAAGGAGUGUGGUCAUCAAAAAUACAAGGUAAAUUUGUAUUUUAACUACACGGUCAGUCUGUAUAUUGUGUCAUUGUUUUUGUUCCUCAUGGUUUUUGAUAUCUACAAUACAAGGUCAAUGUAUAUUUUAUUUGUGUCAUGGUUUCUAUUAACAACGUCAAUUUUGGGGGGUGUCUGAUCAUCUAUAAUACAAGGUCAAUAUGUUUUGUUUUUUUUUGUCAUGGUUUUUAAUUACAAAGUCUAUGUAAUUUGUCAUGUUUUUUGUUACAAGGUCAAGUUUAAGAAGUCUGGUCAUCUAUAAUAAAAGGUAAAUUUGUAUUUAAUUAGUGUCCAUGGAUUUUGUUGUCUACAAGGUCAAUUUUAAGGAGUCUUGUCAUUUACAAUACAAGGUAAAUUUAUAUUUUAUUUGUCCUCAUGGUUUUUGUUACUACAAGGUCUGUAUAUAUUUUGGGCCUUUUUUUUUUUUUGGUUUCCUCAUGGUUUUUGAUAUGUACAAUACAAGGUUAAUAUGUAUUUCAUUAGUCAUGGUUUUUGUUAUCUAUUAGGUCACUUUUAAGAAGUCUGGUAAUCUACAAUACAAGGUAAAUGUAUAUUUUAUUUGUAAUGGUUUUUGUUAACUACAAGGUCAAUUUGCGGGGUUUUGGUCAUAUACAAUAAAAGGUCAGUAUGUAUUUAUUUUGUGUUUUUUGUUUCCUCAUGUUUUUGAUAUCUACAAUUUGUCUAUUUUGUGUCGUCAUGGUUUCUAUUAACUACAAGGUCAAUUUUUGGGGGUCUGGUCAUCUACAAACCAAGUUCGAUUUGUAUUUAAUUUGUGUCCUUUUCAUCUUCAAGGUCACUUUUGCGGGUCUGGUCAUCUACAAUACAAGGUCACUUUUGCGGGUCUGGUCAUCUACAAUACAAGGUCAAUAUGUAUUUCAUUUGUCAUGGUUUUUGUUAUCUACAAAGUAAAUUUUGUAUUUUAACUACACGGUCAGUCUGUAUAUUGUGUCAUUGUUUUUGUUUCCUCAUGGUUUUUGAUAUCUACAAUACAAGGUCAAUAUAUAUUUUAUUUGUGUCAUGGUUUCUAUUAACAACAAGGUCUAUUUUGGGGGGUGUCUGAUCAUCUACAAUACAAGGUCAAUAUGCCUUUUUUUUUUUGUCAUGGUUUUUAACUACAAAGUCAAUAUUUAAUUUGCCAUGUUUUUUGUUAUCUACAAGGUCAAUUUUAAGGAGUCUUGUCUUCUACAAUACAAGGUCAAUUUUAAGAAGUCUGGUAAUCUACAUUACAAGGUAAAUAUAUAUUUUAUUUGUCAUGGUUUUUGUUAACUACAAGGUCAAUUUGCGGGGUUUUGGUCAUAUACAAUAAAAGGUCAGUAUGUAUUUAGUUUGUGUUUUUUGUUUCCUCAUGUUUUUGAUAUCUACAAUUAGUCUAUAUUGUGUCAUCAUGGUUUCUAUUAACUACAAGGUCAAUUUUGGGUUCUGGUCAUUUUCAAUCCAAGUUCGAUUUGUAUUUAAUUUGUGUCCUUUUCGUCCUCAAGGUAUCUUUUGCGGGUCUGGUCAUCUACAAUACAAGGUCAAUAUGUAUUUCAUUUGUCAUGGUUUCUAUUAAUUACAUGGUCAAUUUUGGGGGGCUCUGGUCAUGUACAAUGCAAGGUAAAUUUGUAUUUAAUUAGUGUCCAUGGAUUUAGUUAUCUACAAGGUCAAUUUUAAGGAGUCUUGUCUUCUACAAUACAAGGUAAAUUUGUAUUGUAUUUGUUCUUAUGGUUUUUGUUACUACAAGGUCGGUAUGUAUUUUGGGCCUUUUUUUUGUUUCCUCAUGGUUUUUGAUAUCUACAAUACAAGGUUAAUAUGUAUUUCAUUUGUCAUGGUUUUUAUCUAUUAGGUCAAUUUUAAGAAGUCUGGUAAUCUACAUUACAAGGUAAAUAUAUAUUUUAUUUGUCAUGGUUUUUGUUAACUACAAGGUCAAUUUGCGGGGUUUUGGUCAUAUACAAUAAAAAGUCAGUAUGUAUUUAGUUUGUGUUUUUUGUUUCCUCAUGUUUUUGAUAUCUACAAUUAGUCUAUAUUGUGUCAUCAUGGUUUCUAUUAACUACAAGGUCAAUUUUGGGUUCUGGUCAUUUUCAAUCCAAGUUCGAUUUGUAUUUAAUUUGUGUCCUUUUCGUCCUCAAGGUAUCUUUUGCGGGUCUGGUCAUCUACAAUACAAGGUCAAUAUGUAUUUCAUUUGUCAUGGUUUCUAUUAAUUACAUGGUCAAUUUUGGGGGGCUCUGGUCAUGUACAAUGCAAGGUAAAUUUGUAUUUAAUUAGUGUCCAUGGAUUUAGUUAUCUACAAGGUCAAUUUUAAGGAGUCUUGUCUUCUACAAUACAAGGUAAAUUUGUAUUUUAUUUGUCAUGGUUUUUAUCUAUUAGGUCAAUUUUAAGAAGUCUGGUAAUCUACAUUACAAGGUAAAUAUAUAUUUUAUUUGUCAUGGUUUUUGUUAACUACAAGGUCAAUUUGCGGGGUUUUGGUCAUAUACAAUAAAAGGUCAGUAUGUAUUUAGUUUGUGUUUUUUGUUUCCUCAUGUUUUUGAUAUCUACAAUUAGUCUAUAUUGUGUCAUCAUGGUUUCUAUUAACUACAAGCUCAAUUUUGGGUUCUGGUCAUUUUCAAUCCAAGUUCGAUUUGUAUUUAAUUUGUGUCCUUUUCGUCCUCAAGGUAUCUUUUGCGGGUCUGGUCAUCUACAAUACAAGGUCAAUAUGUACUGUAUUUCAUUUGUCAUGGUUUCUAUUAAUUACAUGGUCAAUUUUGGGGGGCUCUGGUCAUGUACAAUGCAAGGUAAAUUUGUAUUUAAUUAGUGUCCAUGGAUUUAGUUAUCUACAAGGUCAAUUUUAAGGAGUCUUGUCUUCUACAAUACAAGGUAAAUUUGUAUUUUAUUUGUCAUGGUUUUUAUCUAUUAGGUCAAUUUUAAGAAGUCUGGUAAUCUACAUUACAAGGUAAAUAUAUAUUUUAUUUGUCAUGGUUUUUGUUAACUACAAGGUCAAUUUGCGGGGUUUUGGUCAUAUACAAUAAAAGGUCAGUAUGUAUUUAGUUUGUGUUUUUUGUUUCCUCAUGUUUUUGAUAUCUACAAUUAGUCUAUAUUGUGUCAUCAUGGUUUCUAUUAACUACAAGCUCAAUUUUGGGUUCUGGUCAUUUUCAAUCCAAGUUCGAUUUGUAUUUAAUUUGUGUCCUUUUCGUCCUCAAGGUAUCUUUUGCGGGUCUGGUCAUCUACAAUACAAGGUCAAUAUGUACUGUAUUUCAUUUGUCAUGGUUUCUAUUAAUUACAUGGUCAAUUUUGGGGGGCUCUGGUCAUGUACAAUGCAAGGUAAAUUUGUAUUUAAUUAGUGUCCAUGGAUUUAGUUAUCUACAAGGUCAAUUUUAAGGAGUCUUGUCUUCUACAAUACAAGGUAAAUUUGUAUUUUAUUUGUCAUGGUUUUUAUCUAUUAGGUCAAUUUUAAGAAGUCUGGUAAUCUACAUUACAAGGUAAAUAUAUAUUUUAUUUGUCAUGGUUUUUGUUAACUACAAGGUCAAUUUGCGGGGUUUUGGUCAUAUACAAUAAAAGGUCAGUAUGUAUUUAGUUUGUGUUUUUUGUUUCCUCAUGUUUUUGAUAUCUACAAUUAGUCUAUAUUGUGUCAUCAUGGUUUCUAUUAACUACAAGCUCAAUUUUGGGUUCUGGUCAUUUUCAAUCCAAGUUCGAUUUGUAUUUAAUUUGUGUCCUUUUCGUCCUCAAGGUAUCUUUUGCGGGUCUGGUCAUCUACAAUACAAGGUCAAUAUGUAUUUCAUUUGUCAUGGUUUCUAUUAAUUACAUGGUCAAUUUUGGGGGGCUCUGGUCAUGUACAAUGCAAGGUAAAUUUGUAUUUAAUUAGUGUCCAUGGAUUUAGUUAUCUACAAGGUCAAUUUUAAGGAGUCUUGUCUUCUACAAUACAAGGUAAAUUUGUAUUUUAUUUGUCAUGGUUUUUGUUACUACAAGGUCGGUAUAUAUUUGGGCCUUUUUUUUUUUUUUCCUCAUGGUUUUUGAUAUCUACAAUACAAGGUUAAUAUGUAUUUCAUUUGUCAUGGUUUUUAUCUACAAGGUCAAUUUGAAGGAGUCUGUUCAUCCACAAUACAAGGUAAAUUUGUAUUUUAUUUGUGUCAUUGUUUUUAACUACAAGGUCCGUAUGUAUUUAACUUGUCACUGUUUUUGUUUCCUCAUGGUUUUUGAUAUCUACAAUCCAAGGUUAAUAUGUAUUUCAUUUGUCAUGGUUUUUAUUAACAAGGUCAAUUUUGGGGGGUGUGGGAUCAUCUAUAAUACAAGGUCAAUAUGUAUUUUUUUUUUUGUCAUGGUUUUUAACUACAAAGUCAAUAUGUAAUUUGUCAUGUUUUUUGUUAUCUACAAGGUCAAUUUUAAAGAAUCUGGUCACCUACAAUACAAGGUAAAUUUGUAUUUUAUUUGUGUCAUGGUUUUUAACUACAUGGUCAGUAUGUAUUUAACUUUGUCACUGUUUGUUUCCUCAUGGUUUGUGAUAUCUACAAUACAAGGUCAAUAUGUAUUUAAUUUGUCAUGAUUUUUGUUAUCUACAAGGUAAAUUUUAAGGAGUUUGGGCAUCAAAAAUACAAGGUAAAUUUGUAUUUUAACUACACGGUCAGUACGUAUAUUGUCAUUGUUUGUUUCCUCAUGGUUUUUGAUAUCCUCUAAUCCAAGGUCAAUGUAUAUUUUAUUUGUGUCAUGGUUUCUAUUAACACCAAGGUCAAUUUUGGGGGGUGUCUGAUCAUCUAUAAUACAAGGUCAAUAUGUAUUUUUUUUGUCAUGGUUUUUAACUACAAAGUCAAUAUGUAAUUUGUCAUGUUUUUUUAUCUACAAGGUCAAUUUUAAAGAGUCUGGUAAUCUACAAUACAAGGUAAAUUUGUAUUUUAUGUGUCAUGGUUUUUGUUACUACAAGGUUGGUAUGUAUUUCGGGACUUUUUUUUUUUUAGGUUUAGGGUUUGGCCUUUGUUUUAAUGUUUUUGAUAUCUACAAUAAGUUUAUGUAUUUUGUCGUCAUGGUUUCUAUAAACUACAAGGUCAAUUUUGGGGUUCUGGUCAUCUACAAUCCAAGUUCGAUUUGUAUUUAAUUUGUCCUUUUUAUCUUCAAGGUCACUUUUGCACGUAUGGUCAUCUACAAUACAAGGUCACUAUGUAUUUCAUUUGUCAUGGUUUCUAUUAAUUACAAGGUCAAUUUUGGGGGGCUCUGGUUAUCUACAAUACAAAGUAAAUAUGUAUUUUUUGCCAUGGUAUUUAUCUACAAGGUCAAUUUUGGGGGUUUGGUCAUCUACAAUACAAGGUCAAUAUGUAUUUCCUUUGUCAUGGUUUUUGUUAUCUACAAGGUCAAUUUUAAGGAGUCUGGUCUUCUACAAUACAAGGUCAGUAUGUAUUUAAUUUGUGUCCUCAUGGUUUUUGUUUUCUACAAGGUCAAUUUUAGGGGUCUUGUCAUCGACAAUACAUGUUAAAUAUGUAUUUAAUUUGUGUCAUCAUGGUUUUUGAUAUCUACAAGGUCAAUUUUGGAGUCUGGUUAUCUACAAUACAAAGUCAAUAUGUAUAUAAUUUGUGUCCUCAUGGUGUUUGUUUCCUCAAUUUUUGAUAUCUACAAGGUCAAAAUUGGUUUAUUCCACUAUGCAAUGCAACACUCUUACCUAAUGUUAUUCAUUCAUGUGACUCAUUUCUCAUUCUUACACCCUGCAGCGCUACAACAGUACACAAGUCUUAAACAAUGUGUUAUGGGUCACGUUCCUGCUUCUCCUCCUGCUGUGCGCACUGUUGAGUGCAUGGCGGAGCACAUCAAUAGGUGUUCCCUCUCCGCUGCGGGUGUGCCUCUGCAAGAGAUCUGCAAUCAACACACCUGCCCGUGAUGAGCAACCAGCCUUCAUAAGCCAGCGCGUCUUGAGAUCCGGUGCCAGAACGUAGUUUCUCCGAACAGUACACUUCCUCUUCGUCUACCUGGACCCCCUUUGGAUUCCUUCUUGCCUUCCUGGACCAAGACCUCGCUCCUGCCCUCUGACGUCCAAGCCUUUUUCUCCUUUUGGACUUCCGCCUCUAUCUCAACACGCACACUCAACACCCUCUGGUGACCACGCUCAGAUAAUACUUACACAUAGUCACACUCCAUCUCUUUAAGGUAAUCACACACUGCACUCACAUACUGAGUUGUCAAUAAACACGCUGGCAGCUAA